rnacentral:lncRNA from 1 species
AACUGCAGUGAGCCAAGAUUGCACCACCGCACUCCAGCCUGGGCAGCAGAGAAGGACCCUAUCUCAAAACAAACAAAAAUCAAAAAUGAAAUAAAAUGCUUACUGUCGGCGCCCCUUCUCUUCAGAAGUCCAGAUGAGGGGCCUCUAAUCAAGGUGGUGACUGGGCCACACAGCCACGGCCUUCCUCAGGGUGAGCCCUUCCCUCGGGGUGCUCCCUUCCCCUCCAUUCCUUCCAUUCCCUUCCACUCCCCCUUCCCUUUCCACCUUCCCCUCAUUCCCUUCCCUCCCUUCCAUUCUCCCUUCCCUCCAUUCCUUCCAUUCUCCCUUCCAUUCUCCCUUCCGUCCUUCCCUCCAUUCUCCCUUCCAGUGCGUCCCUUCCCAUUCUUCCCUUCCCUCGGUGCUCCCUUCCUAGGUGAGCCGCUUCCCUCCGGUGCUCCCUUCCCUCGGUGUGCGUCCUUCCCUGGGGUACUCCCUUCCCUCAGUGCUCCCUUCCCUGAGUGCAUCCUUCCCUCGGGGUGCUCCCUUCCCUCGGGGUGCUCCUUCCCUCGGGGUGCUCCCUUCCCUCGGGGUGCUCCCUUCCCUCGGGGUGCUCCCUUCCCUCGGGAUGAGCCCUUCCCUCAGGGUGCGCCCAGGCAUGUGUGGCCUCCCUACUCACUGCUGUUUCUUCCUGUCUCCUUCCUGGUGAGUUCUUACCCACUGUUGCCCACCGUCUGCUGAUUUCUGAUCACUUGUCUUCCCUCUUGAGCUUGGUGAACAGACCAGGAGGAAGGUACAGGAUGGCCCCCGUCACCCCCCGAAAAUUUCUAGGACCAAAGCCCAAAAGCCGGAGGGGAGAAGAAGGACCCCACUCAGGGCUGGGAAAGCUGACCUGAGGCCUGGCACCCUGCAGUGGCGUGGGGCGGUCUUGUGUGGCUGUGUGCCCCUCAACCAGGCAGGUGAGAGCGGGGAGGGAAGUGGGUACAAGUGAGCAAGUGUGUGAGUGUUAGUGUGUGGGUGUAUGACUGUCAGUGUGUGUGUGUCUGAGUGUAUGUGUGUGUGUGAGUGUGAGUGUGUGGGGUGUGUGUUUCUGAGUGUAAGUAUGUGUGUCUGAGUUUGAGUAUAUGUGACUGAGUGUGAGUGGGUGUCUGAGUGUUAGUGUGAGUGUGUGUGUCUGCGUGUUAGCAUGUGUCUGAGUGUGUGUCUGAGUGUGAGUAUGUGUCUGAGUAUGUGUGACUGCGUAUGUGUGUCUGAGUGUGUGUGUGUAUCUGCAUUGAGUGUGUGUCUGAGGGUUAGUGUGUGUGUCUCACUGUGUGUGUGUGUGAGAGUGUGAGUGGGUGCUUGAGUGUUAGUGUGAGGGUGUGUCUGAGUGUGUGUAUGUUAGUGUGUGAGUAUAUGAGUGUGAGUGUGUGCACCCUGGGAAGAGGCAUGGGCUAGGAAUAAAAUACUUUCCCAGAGUGUAGCAAAUAAUAGCAAAGUUCACCAAUCAGUUCUCUCAGUUCUCUCAGUUCUCCUGCUGCCUUAAGCAACUAUGGGCUUUCAUUCUUCAACUUUCUUCUCUCUCUCUCUAUCGCUCACACACACACACACACACACACACACACACACGCACCAUGAGACCUCUUCUGAGCCCUCCUGGUAAGGCUGGGCUCCCUGCUGCCCCCACAUCCCCUCACUUACACCAAAUUCCAUCCCCCGACUGGAAUGUUUGGGGUGAGAGCCCCUCCUCUGUCCUAUUUGCACCAGCGUCGGCUGAAAGUGUCAGGAAGUGUGACCGCCUCUCAUGGACCCGGAA